rnacentral:tRNA from 1 species
UCCCUGGAGGCCUAGUGGUUAAGACUCUGAGCUCCCAAUGCAGGGGGCAUGGGUUCAAUCCCUGGCCAGGGAA